rnacentral:rRNA from 1 species
GAUGAACGCUGGCGGUAUGCUUAACACAUGCAAGUCGAACGGACUCUUCGGAGUUAGUGGCGGACGGGUGAGUAACGCGUGGGAAUCUGGCUUUGGGUUCGGGACAACCACUGGAAACGGUGGCUAAUACCGGAUGUGCCGAGAGGUGAAAGAGAAAUGGCCUGAAGAUGGGCUCGCGUCUGAUUAGCUAGUUGGUGAGGUAAAGGCUCACCAAGGCAGCGAUCAGUAGCUGGUCGGAGGGGAAGCCCAGCCACACGGGGACUGAGACACGGCCCAGACGCCUACGGGAGGCAGCAGUGGGGAAUUGUCCGCAAUGGGCGAAAGCCUGACGGAGCCAUACCGCGUGAGGGAAGAAGGCUCUGGGGUUGUAAACCUCUUGUCUUAGGGAAGAACAAAAUGACGGUACCUAAGGAAUCAGCAUCGGCUAACUCCGUG